UCCCAUAUGGUCUAGUGGUUAGGAUUUGGCGCUUUCACCGCCAAGGCCCGGAAUCAAUUCCUGGUGCGGGAA
rnacentral:tRNA from 1 species